UGGCCCUUACGAGUAGGGCUACACACGUGCUACAAUGGCAGAUACAGAGGGCAGCGAAGCUGCGAAGUGGAGCGAAUCCCUUAAAGUUUGUCGUAGUCCGGAUUGGAGUCUGCAACUCGACUCCAUGAAGUCGGAAUCGCUAGUAAUCGUGGAUCAGAAUGCCACGGUGAAUACGUUCCCGGGCCUUGUACACACCGCCCGUCACACCAUGGGAGUGGGCUGCACCAGAAGUAGAUAGCUUAACCUUCGGGAGGGCGUUUACCACGGUGUGGUUCAUGACUGGGGUGAAGUCGUAACAAGGUAGCCCUAGGGGAACCUGGGGCUGGAUCACCUCCUUACUGA
rnacentral:rRNA from 1 species